CAGCAGCCGCGGUAAACCGUAGGAGCCAAGCGUUAUCCGAAUUUACUGGGCGUAAAGCGCGUGUAGGCGGCAUGGUAAGUUGGAUGUGAAAGCUCCUGGCUCAACUAGGAGAGGACGUUCAAAACUGCCAAGCUAGAGGGCGAGAGAGGAAGGUGGAAUUCCCGGU
rnacentral:rRNA from 1 species